rnacentral:rRNA from 1 species
GCCUACGGGGCGCAGCAGUAGGGAAUUUUCGUCAAUGGGCGCAAGCCUGAACGAGCAAUGCCGCGUGAACGAGGAAGGUCUUCGGAUCGUAAAGUUCUGUUGAAGGGGAAAAAAGAGCGGAGAGAGGAAAUGGUCUCCGAUUGAUAUUACCCUUCGAGGAAGUCACGGCUAACUACGUGCCAGCAGCCGCGGUAGUACGUAGGUGGCGAGCGUUAUCCGGAAUGAUUGGGCGUAAAGGGUGCGUAGGCGGCCUGCUAAGUCUGGAGUGAAAGGUACCAGCUCAACCGGUACAGGCUCUGGAAACC